AAGAAUGCACACAUUCUGCAUGUGAUUUCAAUCUUGGAAGACUCUGGGCAGAGAACCCAACCAAUGUCAGCCAUGGACAUCUCACCUAAUGAGCUACUGAGAAGUCAAGAUCAAGGUGCCAGCAAAUUCUGUUCCUGGUGGGGACUCUGUUCCUGACUUGAAGAUGGCUGUCUUCCUGUUACAUCCUCAUGUGGCCUUUCCUUGGUUUGCCUUCUGCAGGGGUGUUGGACGCUGGGAGGAGGUGACUACUUUGGAGGCUGGCAGACAAGACUGGAAUCCUGCUUCUGAUUCUUCAGAUGUUCAGAAAACAUCCUGAGUUUUCCC